rnacentral:hammerhead_ribozyme from 1 species
CCACUGCUGAGGAGUCCCACAACAGGACGAAACGGCCGUUCAGUAC